rnacentral:sRNA from 1 species
AAUGAAUUGGAAAGCAUCCAAAGAUGCCAAGAAAAUCAGCAAAAAAAGGAGCAGUAAAAAUGAGGAUGCAAGCAAUUCAUUCAUAAGUAACUUCAAAACAAUGCAUCACAUAGUUCCUGUUUAUUACCCACAGGAAUCUCUCUUUGAAGCAAUCUGAAAGCUUGCUGACAAAAAAUGGUGUGCAUGAACCUCACCUUUUCCAUAACCCCAAAGAAAAAGAAAAUUUGUUUGUGGAAAAUGAGUAAAUUCAGCCUCAAGUGACAGGAAACGUUUGAUUUUGUUUUUAACCGUAUAGGACUAGGCAACAAUAUCUUUUGUGGGUUUGUAGCUUUAUGGUAUCUCAUAAUAUAAGAAAAACGUUUAAGUUA